AGUGCUGUUCGUUCGGCGUCUGUUUGACGUACCCCAACCGACCAAAUUGGCGGUUGCGGGGCGUGACAGAUAAAGUGGUAUCAGAGCAAUUAAAAGAGCAAGUAAAGAGAGAAGUUUAGGAUGGACCUAGGAUGUCACGCCUCGACAACUCUCCCUGUCACGCCCUGCCCUGAAUCCAUUACCAAUUUGGCACGGUUCGGGCGCGCCGGACGGACCGCCGGACGGACAGUACCCCUCCUGUCCGCCCAAGGCCAAGCAACCAGAUCAUGUACAGUUAAGCGCCCAGGGAAUGCUUAAAUAACAUACAUGAUCGAUACGAUGCACACAAGUGCACUAUAACUAAGAGCAAGAACCACAAGUGAAUGUACAAGUGUAUAAAGAGAGAUAGUCUAACUAUUACAACCAUUCAACAUUUACAUCAGUUGAUUACAUUUCCAUCUUCCAAAAUGUAAAUACAUGUUUUCUUCCAAUACAUCAUAGCUCUCCAACAUCUAUCCAAAAUAUACAUGGUAUCUAGUACACGAGGGUACUCUAAUGCAUGAUGGAAAGCUACUAACUAACUCACUUAGGGCGCUAUGCCCUUGCCGCGAUCCUCGCUCGGCUCGCCCCUGUGUGUACCUGUACCCCAAAACCACAUGGGGUGAGAACUAUAUAAAUAUAGUUCCCAGUGGGUUCGGCCGCCGACGCCGCCGGUUUUCCCACUAGGUCUAAGCUAGCACAGAUAGAGAGAUAGAUAAAUAUAUAUAAAAUAAACUGCAACUACUCUAUCAUGCCAUCAAUGAUAAUCAUGCAUGCAACAACUACUAUCAUGCUAGUAUCAUAUCAUGAGUAUAUAAAG
rnacentral:lncRNA from 1 species